AUGCUGGAGGUAUCAGAAGUGCGAAUGCUGACAUAAGUAACGAUAAAGCGGGUGAAAAGCCCGCUCGCCGGAAGACCAAGGGUUCCUGUCCAACGUUAAUCGGGGCAGGGUGAGUCGACCCCUAAGGCGAGGCCGAAAGGCGUAGUCGAUGGGAAACAGGUUAAUAUUCCUGUACUUGGUGUUACUGCGAAGGGGGGACGGAGAAGGCUAUGUUGGCCGGGCGACGGUUGUCCCGGUUUAAGCGUGUAGGCUGGUUUUCCAGGCAAAUCCGGAAAAUCAAGGCUGAGGCGUGAUGACGAGGCACUACGGUGCUGAAGCAACAAAUGCCCUGCUUCCAGGAAAAGCCUCUAAGCAUCAGGUAACAUCAAAUCGUACCCCAAACCGACACAGGUGGUCAGGUAGAGAAUACCAAGGCGCUUGAGAGAACUCGGGUGAAGGAACUAGGCAAAAUGGUGCCGUAACUUCGGGAGAAGGCACGCUGAUAUGUAGGUGAAGUCCCUCGCGGAUGGAGCUGAAAUCAGUCGAAGAUACCAGCUGGCUGCAACUGUUUAUUAAAAACACAGCACUGUGCAAACACGAAAGUGGACGUAUACGGUGUGACGCCUGCCCGGUGCCGGAAGGUUAAUUGAUGGGGUCAGCGCAAGCGAAGCUCUUGAUCGAAGCCCCGGUAAACGGCGGCCGUAACUAUAACGGUCCUAAGGUAGCGAAAUUCCUUGUCGGGUAAGUUCCGACCUGCACGAAUGGCGUAAUGAUGGCCAGGCUGUCUCCACCCGAGACUCAGUGAAAUUGAACUCGCUGUGAAGAUGCAGUGUACCCGCGGCAAGACGGAAAGACCCCGUGAACCUUUACUAUAGCUUGACACUGAACAUUGAGCCUUGAUGUGUAGGAUAGGUGGGAGGCUUUGAAGUGUGGACGCCAGUCUGCAUGGAGCCGACCUUGAAAUACCACCCUUUAAUGUUUGAUGUUCUAACGUUGACCCGUAAUCCGGGUUGCGGACAGUGUCUGGUGGGUAGUUUGACUGGGGCGGUCUCCUCCUAAAGAGUAACGGAGGAGCACGAAGGUUGGCUAAUCCUGGUCGGACAUCAGGAGGUUAGUGCAAUGGCAUAAGCCAGCUUGACUGCGAGCGUGACGGCGCGAGCAGGUGCGAAAGCAGGUCAUAGUGAUCCGGUGGUUCUGAAUGGAAGGGCCAUCGCUCAACGGAUAAAAGGUACUCCGGGGAUAACAGGCUGAUACCGCCCAAGAGUUCAUAUCGACGGCGGUGUUUGGCACCUCGAUGUCGGCUCAUCACAUCCUGGGGCUGAAGUAGGUCCCAAGGGUAUGGCUGUUCGCCAUUUAAAGUGGUACGCGAGCUGGGUUUAGAACGUCGUGAGACAGUUCGGUCCCUAUCUGCCGUGGGCGCUGGAGAACUGAGGGGGGCUGCUCCUAGUACGAGAGGACCGGAGUGGACGCAUCACUGGUGUUCGGGUUGUCAUGCCAAUGGCACUGCCCGGUAGCUAAAUGCGGAAGAGAUAAGUGCUGAAAGCAUCUAAGCACGAAACUUGCCCCGAGAUGAGUUCUCCCUGACUCCUUGAGAGUCCUGAAGGAACGUUGAAGACGACGACGUUGAUAGGCCGGAUGUGUAAGCGCAGCGAUGCGUUGAGCUAACCGGUACUAAUGAACCGUGAGGCUUAACCUUACAACGCCGAAG
rnacentral:rRNA from 1 species